CGGGCGCCUGUAGUCCCGGCUAAUCAGGAGGCUGAGGCAGGAGAAUGGCAUGAACCCACGAGGCGGAGUUUGCAGUGAGCCAAGAUCGCACCACUGCACUCCAGCCUGGGUGACAGAGCGAGACUCCAUCUCAAAAAAAUAAAUAAAUAAAUAAAAAUAAUAGUUGGGUCAAGGAGUGGGUCACCUUAUAACUUCUGAGAUAGCUUACAGUCUUACUGACAUAACUCUACGAAAAUAUUUUAUAGGUUCAUGGGAGACAUCUUCAUUUAGAAAGAAU
rnacentral:lncRNA from 10 species